rnacentral:rRNA from 1 species
UACAGAGGGGGCAAGCGUUGUUCGGAAUUACUGGGCGUAAAGGGCGCGUAGGCGGCCUGUUAAGUCGGACGUGAAAUCCCUCGGCUCAACCGGGGAACUGCGUCCGAUACUGGCGGGCUUGAAUUCGGGAGAGAGAUGUGGAAUUCCAGGUGUAGCGGUGAAAUGCGUAGAUAUCUGGAGGAAUACCGGUGGCGAAGGCGGCAUCCUGGACCGGCAUUGACGCUGAGGAGCGAAAGCUAGGGGAGCAAACGGG